CACGUCGCGCGCACCUCACUCUGUGCGGAGACCGCGGCUAUCACCGAUUCAGCAACACAGUCAAACAAACUGAAGGAAAAUAGACCAACAUUCACUGACGCAAGGUGAGUGGCUUCCAGCGCCGUGAUCGUGCACGGAAAGACAGAAGGGGAAGAAAAUGGACCGCGAGGUGAUGGGUGAUGCAACGCCGAAACGGCCGCAGGAGGACCCUGGCGGCAACGUUAAAAAGAAGAGGAAAUGGAGCAGGAAGGCGAAUAAAGGAAAGCAGGAGGGAGAGAUACUUCUGCAGGACAGAGAGAGAUGUCUUCAGGAGAGAGAGAGAUGUCUUCGGGAGAAAGAACAGUCUCUUCGGGAGAAAGAGCGAUUUCUUCAGGAGCGAGAGAGAUGUCUGCUGCCCAGCGCUUUCCCAGAGGCCUCUGCAUUCUCAGGAGCCUCUCUGGAGGGCAUGAGGCAUGAGGACGCACCAGGGAAGGCGGAGACACCUGGCCUCGUGGGAUUGGCUGGUGCUGUGGAGGAGCGGCCUGACACGCCUCAGGAUGUGGACCCUUCAGUUGUGCCUUUUCCACCACCUGGCCAAACUGUGCCACUACCUGGCCAAAAUGUGCCACUACCUGGCCAAACUGCGCCACCACCUGGC